CUUUGUCAUUUUCCGCACUUCCUUUCUUGAAAAAUAUGAAAUUUAUAGCUACUUUGACUUAUUUUUUUCUAAAAGCUUUUUUGAGAAUAUUUCAAUUGAUGUUGAAUGCUCUUUUCAAUGGGUGCAGGGUGUGAUGAAGUAUCAAGGUCUUAUUUGGAUUUUUUUUUGAAGAAAUUUACUGCGGAAGUUGAAUCAAAUGACAAGGUUGUUUUGAAUAAUUGUAAGGUAAGUAUGAUGUGAAAUGAAGUUUGACUUGCUCUAUUGGUUUAUUGUCUUAUUUAUUGUAGGUUGUGGUCACUGUCUUUAUUGGUUGUGACACAUGUUUUGUUCUUAAGAAUAAAUUGAUAUAGGUACAAAGGCAUGCAUUUUACAGUGGUCUGAUCAAUCAUUAAAGAGUACAAAGAUGGUUAUGCUGAUUUUGAGAAUUUUUUAUCGCCUCAAUUUGUUGGAUUUACAAGUAACCCAAUGUGUCGUCUAUUUUUAAGCUGUUUUGAUAAAAAGAAAGGAUUAUAUCUAAAGAUGCACUUAACUCCUAAUUCUUACAAAGUCUAAUAAAGAACCUUUGGUAUGAUAAUUUAUCUCUUGAUUCAUAUUUUUAGUAUGGUUAUUGCAGUUAGUAAAAAUUGCAAGGCUUCUAAAGGCAAACACAUCUUGUAUUUGUGUCAUAUUUUCACACUUUGUCCCAACUUCUCAGUUCAUCUUUCUCUUUAUCUCUUCCCCUCCCUCUUAUUGUUGUCCCUGUCUCUCCAUACAGAACAAAUAAAUGUAACUAAGAAUUCUAUAACUACUGGUGAUAGAAGAAGUACAAUCUCUUAAGAAUAUAUAUAUUUGAUCAAUUUUAAUUGGUAAGUCCUCUUUGUAUAGGAGUCGUAGUUAGUAUUAACAACCUGCAUUUUUUUAUGUAUAAGGGAAGAAAUAGGUUACUCUUCUCGACAUAUUUGAUUGCCGGAGCAGACGGCAGAUAUAUUGUUGAGUGUUAAAGUAUAUUACCCUUUUGAUUUGAUUUAUGUUGGUAUAAAAAUAUUUCCUAGGUCAUAUAUAUUGUACUUAGCAACCUUGACGCUAUGGAGAUUUCAUUGUUUUUCUCUGCUACUACUACCAAUUUUUCUAUGCAUCUGCACAUGGGAUAGUCAUCUUGCACUCUCCAUUUGAUAUAGUUCAUUUUCUUUAGUACCACAACACCAUCAAAUCUUCUGUCAAGGAAAAGAAUGUCGCUAAGAAAUUAUAUAAGGCAUUUCACACUCGCUUUUCGCAAGGAAGAGAAUACCUGGAGAGGAAGGGAAUCAUCAUAGGUUGUAUUUUAAGUAAAGAUUUGAAUGCCAAUGAAUUGAGCAAUAUAUAAAAAUAUCAACCUACGAGCUAAUGCAACCUAAUAAAAAAAAUACUAUUGAGCAACUAUAGAGUUUUAGGUUAGGUAGUAUACAUUGAACAUCUAUCUUUUCAAUUUUCUCAUCCCGUUAAAUUACAAUCUUUAUCUGUUAUACAUCAAUAAUGAGAUGUUUGAUUGUUAUGUUCGAUAUUCAAACGGUCAUGUGAGAUUCGUUUUUUAUUACUGCAUAAGUUCAACUGUUCCUACUUGAUUUUUCAAAAUUCUCGAGUAUUUGGUGUAAUAUGAGAUUCAUAUGAAAGGUAUUUUCUUCUAUUGUAUGAAAGAAACUCAUAUGAGAAUCUUUUGAGUACUUAAAGUAAUAUGAAAUUCAUCUUAAAGAUGUGCUUUGUGAUAUCAUGUAUUCGUAUCCAAGAUUUGAUGCUUCAUCUGCUUCUUUAGUUUAGUAAGAAUUAUUUCAUGCUAUUGCAUGAAACAUUUGACUGGUCUCCUACUGCUCUACGCUAGCUCGAAAGGUAUGGCUACUCUCUUCUUUCCUGCUGAACAUCAUCAAGAAUUUCCCCCUUCUUCUGCUUCACCCGGAAGAUUCUCAAUACAGGCUUAACAACCAUCCCUGCUUACAUUUUAAGAAAAGUUUAAUAGUGACCGUCAAGCUUCACUAAUAGAUAUGGUUCUCCUAUAAGGAGCAUGCUUGCCCUAUGUUUAUUGGUGUGCUAAGUCAUGUAACUUAAUGUUGAAACUUAGCGUACAAGAUAUAGCUUAAAUCUCAUAAAUUUAAUAGGCAGAGCAUAUUAGUCACUUGAUAUAAUUCAACGUUCCUGAAUCAAUUUUAUAUUUCUCAGUGAUUAUUUUUUAUACAGAUGACUUCAAGCUAACAUGAUUACUGAUUUCUCUCUAGGUUGAUGAUAAUCCUUCUUUGACAAAUGCUUCCAAGAUGUAGCAUCUAUUAUUGCGAGAGUUGGUCUUGGGGCUCACUGCAUUAGCAUAGGAAGUGUCCGACAUGUUUGAGCAAGCUGUUGGCAGAAAAUACACUGCGAGGAUAUUACUAACAUUGAAGAGUUCUCUCGCCAUUUUGGAGCUGUUGAUUUGAGGUAAAAAGAUGGACAGAAAAGGUGCUUAUGGCUGAAAUGAGAUAGGUUACUAUUAAAAAAAAUUACAGCCUACAAAUUUCUAUGUCUAUUAAUUAGUUUAGAAUUGUAUCUAUGUCUCAGGAUACCUGAUAAAGAGAGAACACUAACAGAGGCUUGAGCACUUACCAUCUGAUCUGAUCCUACUAAGCAAAAGUAAUCACUUGGAAUAUUUAGAACUGGCAAGAAGAAGACGCACUUCUUAUUCUCAUAUUUACGCGUGACAUUGUUACUCAACAAGAAAUACUUGAAAAUUGUAGUUAAUAGAUGGUGCUAUCAUAUUAGAAAGUAUUUGUUUUGUAAUCUAUAGCAAGAAAAUCAUCUGAGUUCAGUAAGUAAGGGGGAUUUGCCAAAGUGUCCUCUCUUUUAUGUAAGGCAUCAUUUUUCUUCCUGAUUUUACAGAUGAACUUACAAAAGGGAAGAGAUUUUCAGUUCUUGGUUUCCAUGGAGAACUUUUCCAUCAUAAUUUAAUUUUGACUAUGCCUAUUUAAGCUUCUUCUAGAAUUGCUAUGUUUUAUUUUCAAAUUGGAUUUUAACAUGCAUGAUUCCAAAAAAAAAUAAUGUGCAGGUACUGGUCACGUUUGUUAUGGCAUUUUGGUUGCUGAUCGUAAUGGUUGCAUGGCUACUAUGACCAACUUGAAGAGAAUUACCACAUGAACAUAUGUUGUUGAGAUUUGUGUAAUACACAAAGCAAAUGCUUUUGCUUUCUCACAUAUAUGCAAUAUUAUCAACUUCUUCAUUGCAAUGACAUUGUACCACCCACUCACUAAUGUGAGAAAAUGUCUCUUAUAUAUUAUCCUAUUUUUUGUGAAAAUGAUACUCCUUUCAUGU
rnacentral:lncRNA from 1 species